AUUUUUUUUUGGUUAGCAAACGACAUUGUUUAUUUCAAUCAACAUAAAUAUUGCAAUUCUUCAUUGUUAGUCACCGAGGACAAUAAGGACAAUAAAAUAAUUAAAUCAUUUAAACUUAAAAAGGUUCAAUAUAAAAUACUUUACAAAUUAGAAAGCACCAUGGUAAAAACAACAACAGCAACAAAACCUAUUUGGCAUUUGAAUAUUGAAGGAUGAACAUUAAAGAACCCUAACCCUAACCCAGAACAAAAGAAACAUUCAAAUUAAUAAUCAUAUAAAUAUAUGCAAUUUAACCUAAUUUCGUUCUAAUUUAAGGACCUAGCCAUGAAUAGACUACUUGCUCUCUCCAGUUCCAUGGCAAUACAUAGCAAUAUGAUUCAAAUGGGAUAUUGUUUUCAUAAUAUUUACGAAUAAGAAACUACAAAUUCUUUGGACGAAAUAAACUUAGAGAUACGCAGAAAUGGAAAAAAUACAGAUGCCCAAACAUACGCUACGCAAUUUUUUUUUAUUGAGAAAAUACAUCCACAGCUACAUAUACUGUAUACUCAAUUACAAUCUCCCUUUUAGUAUAAGUGUAGUAAGAGAGUUUUAUUUAAUUCAAUUGACUAGAUGAGAUCUGAAAUGUAUUUUAAUCUAAAACAAAAACAAACAUGUUCACAAUUCACUGAUUAAUUUACAUAACAGAAUUGGGGGGGGGGGGGGG